rnacentral:rRNA from 1 species
AUACGUAGGGUGCAAGCGUUAAUCGGAAUUACUGGGCGUAAAGCGUGCGCAGGCGGUUUUGUAAGACAGAGGUGAAAUCCCCGGGCUCAACCUGGGAACUGCCUUUGUGACUGGAAGGCUAGAGUACGGCAGAGGGGGGUGGGAUUCCGCGUGUAGCAGUGAAAUUCGUAGAAUGUCGGAGGAACACCGAUGGCGAAGGCAAUCCCCUGGGCCUGUACUGACGCUCAUGCACGAAAGCGUGGGGAGCAAACAGGAUUAGAUACCCUGGUAGUCCACGCCCUAAACGAUGUCAACUGGUUGUUGGGUCUUCAUUGACUCAGUAACGAAGCUAACGCGUGAAGUUGACCGCCUGGGGAGUACGGCCGCAAGGUUGAAACUCAAAUGAAUUGACGGG